AUGAAUGGCCUGUUCUGGAAUUUUAGGGGAGCAGGUAAGAAAGGAAUGACUACCUGCUUCUUAGAUCUAAUUAAAGAUCAUUCCUUGGAUUUUAUAGGCCUUCAAGAAACUAUUGAAAAGAAUUUUCCUCCCAAGUUUGUAAGAAAAAAUGAUCCCUUCGAUAGAUUUGUCUGGAACUGGGUUCCAUCUGUUGGGAAAUCAAGUGGUAUCCUGUGUGGUGUAAAAAAAGAAACCCUAGAGAUUUUCUCUUGGGUGGUUGGUAAUUUCCUUUUACAAGUCAAUCUACAUGAUGUGAAUCAUAAGUGUGUCUGGGCUCUCAUAAUUGUCUAUGAAGCAGCCCAAGAUGAUAGAAAAGACAAAUUCCUUGCAGAACUAGUUUCUAUUUGUGCUCAACUUCAUGUCCCAUAUAUAGUCACUAGUGCAGAACCGGGCUUUAGCGCCGGUUCGUAA
rnacentral:rRNA from 1 species